rnacentral:rRNA from 2 species
GGGUUGUGAGGUUAAGCGACUAAGCGUACACGGUGGAUGCCCUGGCAGUCAGAGGCGAUGAAGGGCGUGCUAAUCUGCGAUAAGCGCCGGUAAGGUGAUAUGAACCGUUAUAACCGGCGAUACCCGAAUGGGGAAACCCAGUGUGAUUCGUCACACUAUCAUUAACUGAAUCCAUAGGUUAAUGAGGCGAACCGGGGGAACUGAAACAUCUAAGUACCCCGAGGAAAAGAAAUCAACCGAGAUUCCCCCAGUAGCGGCGAGCGAACGGGGAGGAGCCCAGAGCCUGAAUCAGCAUGUGUGUUAGUGGAAGCGUCUGGAAAGGCGCGCGAUACAGGGUGACAGCCCCGUACACAAAAGCGCAUGUGCUGUGAGCUCGAUGAGUAGGGCGGGACACGUGGUAUCCUGUCUGAAUAUGGGGGGACCAUCCUCCAAGGCUAAAUACUCCUGACUGACCGAUAGUGAACCAGUACCGUGAGGGAAAGGCGAAAAGAACCCCGGCGAGGGGAGUGAAAAAGAACCUGAAACCGUGUACGUACAAGCAGUGGGAGCACAGGUUUACCUGUGUGACUGCGUACCUUUUGUAUAAUGGGUCAGCGACUUAUAUUCUGUAGCAAGGUUAACCGAAUAGGGGAGCCGGAGGGAAACCGAGUCUUAACCGGGCGUUAAGUUGCAGGGUAUAGACCCGAAACCCGGUGAUCUAGCCAUGGGCAGGUUGAAGGUUGGGUAACACUAACUGGAGGACCGAACCGACUAAUGUUGAAAAAUUAGCGGAUGACCUGUGGCU